rnacentral:rRNA from 1 species
GAUGAACGCUGGCGGCGUGCCUAAUACAUGCAAGUCGAGCGAACAGACGAGGAGCUUGCUCCUCUGACGUUAGCGGCGGACGGGUGAGUAACACGUGGAUAACCUACCUAUAAGACUGGGAUAACUUCGGGAAACCGGAGCUAAUACCGGAUAAUAUAUUGAACCGCAUGGUUCAAUAGUGAGAGACGGUUUUGCUGUCACUUAUAGAUGGAUCCGCGCCGCAUUAGCUAGUUGGUAAGGUAACGGCUUACCAAGGCAACGAUGCGUAGCCGACCUGAGAGGGUGAUCGGCCACACUGGAACUGAGACACGGUCCAGACUCCUACGGGAGGCAGCAGUAGGGAAUCUUCCGCAAUGGGCGAAAGCCUGACGGAGCAACGCCGCGUGAGAGAUGAAGGUCUUCGGAUCGUAAAACUCUGUUAUUAGGGAAGAACAAAUGUGUAAGUAACUAUGCACGUCUUGACGGUACCUAAUCAGAAAGCCACGGCUAACUACGUG